GUCUUUUUGUAAUUAAUUUAAAGUCUAACCUGCCCAUUGAAUAAAUUUUAAAAGGCUGCGGUAUAUUAACCGUACAAAGGUAGCAUAAUCAUUAGUUUUUUAAUUGAAAACUUGUAUGAAUGGUUGAAUGAAAAAUUAACUUUUUUAAAUAAAAAAUUGAAUUUUACUUUUUAGUUAAAAGGCUAAAAUAUAUUUAAAAGACGAGAAGACCCUAUAGAGUUUUAUAAUUCAUUAUUAUUAUUUUUAAAGUUUAUUUAAUAUAAUAUUAGUCAAAUUAUUUUAUUGGGGUGAUAAUAAAAUUUAAUUAACUUUUAUUAAUUUUAUACAUUAAUAUAUGAAUAUUUGAUCCAGUAAUUAUUGAUUAAAAAAUUAAAUUACCUUAGGGAUAACAGCGUAAUUUUUUUUUAAGCUCUUAUUAAUAAAAAAUUUUGCGACCUCGAUGUUGGAUUAAGAUUAAAUUUAGGUGCAGCAGCUUAAAUUUUGAGUCUGUUCGACUUUUAAAUUCUU
rnacentral:rRNA from 1 species